rnacentral:lncRNA from 1 species
AAAGCAUCUGUCAUUUCCAUUUUGAAGUUAAGAAAAUGGAGGUGAAGAUCUCUUUCCCAACAGUGAAAGCAAAUUUACGAUGAAAAGACUAAACCUUCAUCUGGAGCAAUGACCGAACCCCUCCCCAAGGAGUCCCAUGAUGCAGAUGACCUUCCCAUCCCUAUCCUAUAAAGUGCUGUUUCACUUUCUGUCUUGCCUUCUCACCUCCUCAGCCCUGAGAUGUCCACCUGGCUGGCCUGGCAGUGAAACUAUGGGGAUUUCUUCAGGACCUUCAGCCUAGGUCCUCCACGACGACCUCGUGGUCCUCAGUCAGCUCUGUGCUCUCGCUUCCCACUCCCCAGGCUCCAGCUCCUGGUGCCCCCACUGAGGAUCAAGUCCUGUGUAUGCCUUCAUGCAGGGAUCCUCAAACGGCCAUCCCCAGACCAGCAGCAGGAGCAUCUCCUUGGAACUUGUUAGAAAUGUAAAUUCUCAGCCAGGGCAAUGUA